UACAGAGACUGCAAGCGUUAUUCGGAUUCACUGGGCGUAAAGGGUGCGCAGGCGGCCAUGUGUGUAAGGUGUGAAAUCCCGGGGCUUAACCCCGGAACUGCGCCUUAAACUACAUGGCUAGAGUAUUGGAGAGGGUAGUGGAAUUCACGGUGUAGCAGUGAAAUGCGUAGAUAUCGUGAGGAACACCAGAGGCGAAGGCGACUACCUGGACAAUUACUGACGCUCAGGCACGAAAGCGUGGGGAGCAAAAGGG
rnacentral:rRNA from 1 species